UACGUAGGCAGCAAGCGUUGUUCGGAGUUACUGGGCGUAAAGGGUGUGUAGGCGGCUUCGUAAGUUCGGUGUGAAAUCUCCCGCUCAACUGGGAGGGUGCGCCGAAAACUGCGAAGCUGGAGCGCAGGAGAGGAAAGCAGAAUUCCUGGUGUAGCGGUGAAAUGCGCAGAUAUCAGGAGGAACACCGGUGGCGAAGGCGGAUCUCUGGGCCAUUACUGACGCUGAGGAGCGAAAGCGUGGGGAGCGAACAGG
rnacentral:rRNA from 1 species